AUUGAACGCUGGCGGCAGGCUUAACACAUGCAAGUCGAGCGGGGUGAUGGUGCUUGCACUAUCACUUAGCGGCGGACGGGUGAGUAAUGCUUAGGAAUCUGCCUAUUAGUGGGGGACAACAUCUCGAAAGGGAUGCUAAUACCGCAUACGUCCUACGGGAGAAAGCAGGGGAUCACUUGUGACCUUGCGCUAAUAGAUGAGCCUAAGUCGGAUUAGCUAGUUGGUGGGGUAAAGGCCUACCAAGGCGACGAUCUGUAGCGGGUCUGAGAGGAUGAUCCGCCACAUUGGGACUGGGACACGGCCCAGACUCCUACGGGAGGCAGCAGUGGGGAAUAUUGGACAAUGGGGGGAACCCUGAUCCAGCCAUGCCGGGUGUGUGAAGAAGGCCUUAUGGUUGUAAAGCACUUUAAGCGAGGAGGAGGCUCUUUUGGUUAAUACCCAAGAUGAGUGGACGUUACUCGCAGAAGAAGCACCGGCUAACUCCGUGCCAGCAGCCGCCGUAA
rnacentral:rRNA from 1 species